rnacentral:rRNA from 1 species
GAUGAACGCUGGCGGCGUGCCUAAUACAUGCAAGUCGAGCGAACGGACGAGAGGCUUGCUUCUCUGAUGUUAGCGGCGGACGGGUGAGUAACACGUGGAUAACCUACCUAUAAGACUGGGAUAACUUCGGGAAACCGGAGCUAAUACCGGAUGAUAUUUUGAACCGCACGGUUCAAAAGUGAAAGACGGUCUUGCUGUCACUUAUAGAUGGAUCCGCGCUGCACUAGCUAGUUGGUAAGGUAACGGCUUACCAAGGCAGCGAUGCAUAGCCGACCUGAGAGGGUGAUCGGCCACACUGGAACUGAGACACGGUCCAGACUCCUACGGGAGGCAGCAGUAGGGAAUCUUCCGCAAUGGGCGAAAGCCUGACGGAGCAACGCCGCGUGAGUGAUGAAGGUCUUCGGAUCGUAAAACUCUGUUAUUAGGGAAGAACAUAUGUGUAAGUAACUGUGCACAUCUUGACGGUACCUAAUCAGAAAGCCACGGCUAACUACGUG